UACAGAAGGAGAAAAAUGUCAAAAUGAAGAAGUCUUAGGUAGGAUCGGGCGCCUCCCUGCACUCCUUCCUUCCCUUAUGACGCCCAGACGGGAGACGCCCACGAGGUUCAAAUUUCCGUCCCUUCAGCUGCUGUGGGCGUCCUAUUUUCCUCUUUUCUGGGUCGAGAGUAAUAUUAACAAGCAGCCAUGCAGAUUUUCCGCCAGGGGGUUAUAACAAACACCAGCCAGAUGAGGCGAAAACACGGAAGAAAGUCCCGCAGAAAGAAAGUGGAAAUGGUGUAUGUGUGGUUCCCAACACUGGGCAUCAACAUAAUCAAGAACCACAAGAAUCUGCUGCGGCAGCUGAAGGAGCUCCGGCAGGCAGGUGUCCAGCACAUCCAGCUCCCCCUCUGUGGGCAGCUCUCCACCACAGUGCUGCAGAAUGUGUGCGACUUCUUCAAGAAAAAGAAGUGUGGAAUGAAGUUCUUCAUCUCUGCAUCAGUGGUGGUACCAGAGGAGCCCAUGGUAGUGGUGCAGCGUCUGGAGGAGCUCUACCUACACCUGGGUCGCCCCCUGGACCUGCUGCUGCUGGAGAACCCUGUGGGCCUCAAGGGGUCAAACUACACAGUUCUUUAUAAGAAGCCUUUGGAUGGGGCUUGGCCUCCAGUCAGAAGUCUCUUUGAAACUGGCAGUGAUGGGCAGCUUGUCAUUCCUCCCAACAUCAUGCAGAACCUGAGUGCCAUCUGGAGGCUCUUGGAAACGGAGGUGGUUAAGGGAGGCCUUGCCAUGCAUCUCGGGCUUCGCAACUUUACACUCAUUCAGAUCCAGGAGCUGCUGAAUGUGGUAAAGCUCAAGCCCAUAAUAGUCCAGGCUGAGCUCAAUUUAUAUAUCCAGCAAAAAAAGCUGAGGAACUUUUGCACCAACAAUAACAUAACUGUGUGUGCCAUCUACCCCUUUGGGAGCCCCUACAGCAGCAGCAGAAACCUGCCUUCACCAACACAACACAGGUCGGUGAAGAGCAUUGCCCACAAGUUGGAUACCUCCACCAAGGCCGUGCUCCUGAGGUACCUCCUGGUGUAUGACAUCCCCAUUGUGAUAGACAACACCAUGGCCAAGGGUGCUGCUCAUCUUCUCCAGACUGUGUAUGAAAUCAAGCUGGAUGAGAAGCACAUUGAGAAACUUUCCACCAUCCAGCAGAACAAACCUGAAAGAGUCCUCACAGAGUUUGAGUUGUGGCAGAAAAAGUUCCCAUUGUGGCCAUUCUAUCUUGAGAAGAGUGAGAGAGAGGAAGGCACAAGAAAAGAAAGCCAAGCUUGGAAAGCAAAGCAAAGCUGGCCAGCUACACCCUUAGAACUAGAUUCAGAUAUUGGGAAGUGGCUGUAGGAGAGUCAUGCUAGCAGUAGUGUACAAAGAGGAAAGUAGGACAGAAAGUAUUAAUAAUUCUCCCUAUAUCUGGACAAAACUUGAUUGUGGGAAAAGUAAGAGAAUACCUGGGGAAUACAGGAUAAGAACUCCCUGCAGUGGGGGAAUUCCCUGAACUGAUAGGUGAAAGGUAUUUUUGUCUUUUUUAUUUCUUUUACAUGAAAGUCCCAGCUAAAGAUCUGUGAUAUACAGAAAAGGUUAGAUUACACAAAUAUAUUUUGUUAGACUUUAGUAUAAAUGGAUUAUAUAUUUUCAUAUCAAAGGACGUCUCAACUUGAAUGUCACAGUGCAGAAUAUUUGUUGAGGAGAAACAUGACUUAUUGGCCCUUGAGUUUUCUGGCUAAAAUUAACAUCAUUGGCUGAGACAGGACAAGAUGGCUACCCAAAAGUGAAAGGAUGACUUUUUUUAUUAUUAUUUGAAAGGAAAACUUUUUGAUGUAAAACUGGAAAACUUGUUGAAUAUUGAUUGACUGACACUAAUUAGUUUUUUGCAUUAUUAGUAACCCAUGACAGUUAAGUAAAGAUAUGUUUUUUGUUAUUGUUUUUCUCAGUCAGGAAGUUUUGGUGUAUUGAUUUAUUUGUGUAUGAGAGAGAGAGAGAGAGAGAGAGAGAGAGAGAGAGAGAGAGAGAGAGAGGUGGGGGGUGGGAGGAAGGAUAUGGGGUAGGUUAUUUACUUCCUGACCAUUCAACAUCUUUUCCUAUUUCUUAUUUUCCUGUUUCCUACUUUCCUGUUUUGUGAUGGUGAAAUGACCGCACCUAGAGUUACCUGGAGAGAGAGAGAGAGAGAGAGAGAGAGAGAGAGAGAGAGAGAGAGAGAGAGAGAGAGAGUCACCCACCCACCAAGGCCGUCUAUCUAUCCACCUAUUCGCCUAAUAAAUGAAGAGGAUAAAGAACGAGAAAAAAAAAUAGACGCCUUCCCACUAGAGGGUCGUAGAGUAGCAAGAAGCUAUUUAAUAUUAAUGGCCACUUGUAUAUUGACCCGUAAAAGGCCUAAUUAAGUAGUAUAUGUGAUAAGCUUAUCCGUGUGUGUGUGUGUGUGUGUGUGUCUGGUUAGCCUACAAGUUGGUCUUUAUGUAUAGUUAAACAGCAGUAUAUAGUUGUUGUGUCGUAUAAUUCACCAUCUUUUCCAUUAUUUAUUAGUCCGGGAAAGUUAUAAUAAGGAUAGGGAGGUAGGGAGGCACAUUCUGUAGCUACACCCGGCCUCAGUGCUCAUCUCCGGCGCUCUUUCACCUCCUCCUUCACCUCUUCUGCUAUUCUUCCUUCCAUUACGUAAACAAGCGUAAUAUACCUAUCCUCUUCCACUUAUUUUUUUUCCUCCUCCUCCUCCUCCUCCUCCUCCUAUCACUUAAAGGUCAGCGAAAUACUCAAGACGUUUGCUUCACGGUUGGUUGGUUAAGGUCAAUUUCUCCGUGACCACGCGUGUUUGUCUAAGGCCACGCUGCAUUACAUAUUACCACAUCCUCCUUUCCUUCCCCCAUUGUUCCAGUAUAGGCCCCCAAAGUUACAGACAGGGCUAGGAAGAAGUGGUCAAGUGGCUAUAGGUGGUUAUAUUCGCCUACUGUGUUAAAUAUAUCGGUCUAUCAAGGGCCUCAAAGCAUUAUUAUUAUCCAAUCCUCCUUUCCUUUCCCUUAUUGCUUCAGGAUAUCCCUCAAAGUUAUAGACAGGCCUGGAGGAGGUCGUUUUAGGUAGUUAUAUAUACGCCUCCUGUGUUAAAUAUCUAUCUAUCAAAGCCCACGAAGCAUUAUUAUUAUCCAAUCCUCCUUUCCUUUCCCUUAUUGCUUUAGGAUAUCCCACAAAGUUAUAGACAGGCCUGGAGGAGGUCGUUUUAGGUGGUUAUAUAUACGCCUCCUGUGUUAAUUAUCUGUCUAUCAAACCCCACGAAGCAUUAUUACCAUAUCCUCCUUUCCUUCCCCCAUUGUUCCAGUAUACGCCCCCGAAGUUACAGACAGACUAGGAGGAAGUUGUUAUAGCUAGGUGGUUGUAUAAUUAUGCGCCUCCUGUACGUGUUAAAUAUGUAUCAAAGCACACGAAGCAUUAUUACUACCACAUCCUCCUUUCCUUUUCCUUGUUGCACCAGUAUUGGCCCCUCAAAGUUACAGACAGGGCUAGGAAGAAUUAAGUGGCUAUGGGUGGUUAAUUAUAUUCGCCUCCUGUGUUGAAUAUCUAUCUAUCAGCCCCACGAGACGUUAUUACCACAUCCUUUCCUUUUCCUUAUUGCACCAGGAUAUCCCCCAGAAAGUAACAGACUGGAGUGGCUUAUAGGAAUAUGGAGUUAUAUUAUAUAGGUUUUAUUUGCCUGCUCGUAUGUCUUUAUAUAAGUUCACGAAGCAUACCACAUCCUCCUUUGCUUUCCCUCAUUGCACCAGGAUAUCCCCCAGAGAGUAACAGACUGGAGUGGCUUAUAGGAAUAGGGGGUUAUAUUAUA